rnacentral:rRNA from 1 species
UGCCAGCCGCCGCGGUAAUACGGAGGGGGUUAGCGUUGUUCGGAAUUACUGGGCGUAAAGCGCACGUAGGCGGAUUAAUAAGUCAGGGGUGAAAUCCCGAGGCUCAACCUCGGAACUGCCUCUGAUACUGUUAGUCUUGAGUUCGAGAGAGGUGAGUGGAAUUCCGAGUGUAGAGGUGAAAUUCGUAGAUAUUCGGAGGAACACCAGUGGCGAAGGCGGCUCACUGGGCCGCUAUCGACGCUGAGGAGCGAAAGCUAGGGGAGCAAACAGGAUUAGAUA